UGGUACUGUAAUUGAUAAGGCAUGAAU
rnacentral:piRNA from 1 species